GCCCUGAUGAACGGGACAGAAGACCCUGUCUAGUCCUGGGGGAAGAGGCAGUACUGCACUUUGCAUCUAGAACUGGCAGCGGGAUGGACAGAAUUCUGCUCUGCGGUGACAGAACCCAGGAUGUGGGCAGCAUCCCUGGCUGAGCCCUUCUAGGGCCAAAGAAACGCGUAGUGGGCCUGAGGUGUAGAGCUGGGGUGGCCCUACUUUGAGCAAGGCCUGCUGAAGCGAAUCACGUUCUGCACUGUGUGCUCUGCAGCUCCUGAACAAAAUGGGCUGAGCUGGAAACAAAAGCUGGGCUUUGACUCCUGCUGCACUAGCUCAAGCAAGAGACAUGGGAGAACAGGCCCAAGGAAGGACUGGGUCAUAGCCCAGAGGUGCUUUCACACCCCUGUGGUUCUGCGACUGCAUGACUGAGGUUGGACGGACCUUCAGAGCUUUGCUGUGCUGCAUGUGUAUGGGAUGGGAUCACUGCUGCGGGGCCUCAAGGGGGUCAUGACUAGAAAUUUGAAUCAAUUUUUUUCUUUAGGAAGAUUCGACUUAAAAUGUCAUUAAUAAUUAAACUAUA